CAAGUCUAAUGUGCCUCCCCCAAAUCCAGCCUCAGCUUGCCAGCCUUGGAGAACCGGUUUCCACGGAAGGCAUCCAAAGGGGGCUUCCUCCGUGCGCGCGGGCCGGGAAGGUGGCCGAGGACACAUCAUCAAGUGAAAACAUGCUAGCCAUUCAGAAGAGGGAGGACUCAUUCAGAAGGAGACUUUGGAGUCAUUUCCCUUCAGGGCUGAAAAUGGCCAGGAUGAUUCCUUUCAUGAUAAAUUCUGAUUCUGUCUCUUGCAUCUAGUUCCCAGCUACUCUGUCCAGCAAAACCAUGUCCUCAUUUGACAAAUGAGUAAACCAAGGCUCAUGUUUGAAAAGAAAGCUGACAAAGUUACCACCGUGGAAUGUAGAAGAUCUUGGUCUCAAAUCGAAUCUUUCUCCCUGAAUAUGACCAUAACUCCAGGAUCUCCAGGGAUGUCAGCCCGAGGCCUUAAAAGAGCAGGUGUACACAGGUAGGUAUGAUUUCUGUUUGGAUUUUAUACCAGCCUGGUGGAGAAGACCUCAAGUUUUCUGUCUCCAACACUGGGAAGGAGGCUAGAUACCAUGACCUUUGAAUAUGGACUAUUAAUGUUGUGACUUUUCCUUUUUAAUUACUUGAGAUGAACUGUAAUUGGCAUGAAAAGGUUAUUGCUGAUGUGUAGGUCUUGGCGAGCAAUAAGCAGCCACAGCAAAUUCUGAUUUUCUUUCUUUCUUUCUUUCUUUCUUUCUUUUUCUUCUUUCUUUCU